AACGAACGCUGGCGGCAUGCCUAACACAUGCAAGUCGAACGAGACCUUCGGGUCUAGUGGCGCACGGGUGCGUAACGCGUGGGAACCUGCCUUUAGGUUCGGAAUAACUCAGAGAAAUUUGAGCUAAUACCGGAUGAUGUCUUCGGACCAAAGAUUUAUCGCCUUUAGAUGGGCCCGCGUUGGAUUAGCUAGUUGGUGGGGUAAAGGCCUACCAAGGCGACGAUCCAUAGCUGGUCUGAGAGGAUGAUCAGCCACACUGGGACUGAGACACGGCCCAGACUCCUACGGGAGGCAGCAGUGGGGAAUAUUGGACAAUAGGCGAAAGCCUGAUCCAGCAAUGCCGCGUGAGUGAUGAAGGCCUUAGGGUUGUAAAGCUCUUUUACCCGAGAUGAUAAUGACAGUAUCGGGAGAAUAAGCGCCGGCUAACUCCGUG
rnacentral:rRNA from 1 species